UGGUGGAGACUGCCUCGGAAGCAGGACAGCCGUCUGCCCCGCACGCUGCAUGCAGCGCGGUGGCCUGCGUCCUUCCAGGGAGGAGCGCCACCCCCCUCCCUUGGUGUUGCACUCCCAGAUCCUUGUGUGGCCCAGGGCCUGCACUCUGGCAGGGCCUUCAUCCCGCAAAGGGCGAAGACCAGGGCCAGGUGGUCAAAUCCCAAAUCCUGGGUGGACCACAGGCUGACGGUGCCAUUUGCAGGACCAGGGAUUCUAGUGGGCCCGUUUAGGAGGUCCCACCAAGUAUCACAGGCCAGAAACUCCGGGGCCUUCUCCACCUGGUCCACCUGAGCUGUAGCCGAGGCCACUUGGUCGACUCCCCACAGGGCUUGUUGACCUGACCCACACUUCUCCGCGCAUGCGCCUGCCGCUCAGAUUCCAUCCAGCCCUGGUUGGACUAGAGCGGCCCGGCUGGCAGGGUGUUCCAGGCUUGGAGCGCGGUGCCUGGCAAACCCAGGGCAGUUCUCUGUCCUCCAGAGAAGUCUGCCGAAGUUUUCAAGGUGAAGCAUCUGAGCCCACAGAUUUGGAGCCCAGAGCAGCGUGGGCAGGGAGAGCUGCCGUCUGGAAUGUCAGGAAUUCCUGGGGACAUCUGGUCCGCUCUGCAUCUGCUCUUCCCGGCCAGGCCAGCCGGCAUUCUUCAUCCUCUUCAUCCGGGGAGUGAGGCUUCUCGCCGUGGGCUUGGAUACACGGGGGCCUCUUUGAUCCUCGCCUCCUGCCUCAGCCCUGACUUGGAUGACUUUGAGUGCCAUAUUUGAUGUCCCUCGCCCUCACCUCUUCUAUAAACGGGUGAUGAGUUCCGCCAGGCCUGGAAUUUACAGACCAGGAUCCGGAAGAAACAGAACAAGAGGGACUCCUUUCCAAAGCCAAGAAGGGUCCCUAAACCCCUAGGAUAGAACGAACCUUCCUUACAGACUCCCUGAGGUCUUUGCUCCUCCGUUAGAGCCCCUUGAGGGUAAGGGUGGUAGUUUCUGCCUUUGGGCACCUGCUUCCAGUUUUGAAUCCGUGUAUGUAUCUGUCACUUCUCUGUGCCACAGCUGGACCAGACCAGCGUUCCCCAAAGGAAUUUAAACAAGGGAACAGCCCCUGAGGAGGAGUUGGCCACUGCCUGCUAGUUCUUUGGGCUUUGGAGAUGCGGAACCAGGAGGGAGGAAGAGGUGCAAAGGCCCGGGGCACGAGUGGGCAUGGCCAGGAUGGACGCGGAGGGAGGGAGGCGGCCGGUGGCUGUGGGAGUGUGGCCCUGUGUGGGGUGUCAGAGCCGGAGGGUGUGUGUGUGUGCAUGCGCGUGUGAGCACGCAUGUGUGUGCACGUGUGCGUGUGCGUGAACACGUCCGAGGUGGGGAAUGCUGACCAGCUGGGCUCCAAGGUCGUCUAACCUGGAGCCCGUAACCCACAGGGAUUCUGCCGCUGACUCCACCAGCGAGUGAGUGGGGUGUCGCCACAAACUUCGGAAACAGAAUCUCAACGAGGACUGAUAAUUCAUCAAAGCAGACCGUAUCUGGCUUAAAAUGAGGGCCGCGUUCAUGGAAAACGAAACAAGCAGGCAGGAGAAUGAGAUCGUUUGUAUGUUUACUAUGGUACAGCAAGAUUUUCCACACCAGAGCCAAGGUCCUCUGCCGCCCACAGAGGCUCUGAGCACACCCACCACCCACGACAUUUAAGACAAUUCUUCGUUUCUCUGACAAUGACUUCUCCAAGUGCAUAUAUAAUAAAUAAAUAGAAAAUA